AGGACGAACGCUGGCGGCGUGCUUAACACAUGCAAGUCGAACGGUGAAGCCCUUCGGGGUGGAUCAGUGGCGAACGGGUGAGUAACACGUGAGCAAUCUGCCCUUGACUCUGGGAUAACUUCGGGAAACCGGAGCUAAUACCGGAUAUGACAUACGGCCGCAUGGUCUGUGUGUGGAAAGAUUUAUCGGUCAGGGAUGAGCUCGCGGCCUAUCAGCUUGUGGUGGGUAAUGGCCUACCGAAGGCGACGACGGGUA
rnacentral:rRNA from 1 species